AUGGUCAUUAACUUUCCAUAUACGGAUAGUCUGCAAAGUUUACAAACAAGAGUGAAAGCAAUAACGAUGGGUGAUGAUUAUGGUAUGAUUGCCGGAUUAAUAAUUCAGUGGAAGAAAGCUAUUUUACUGGAAAAGAUAAAUCCAAUGUUAAACAUAGUACGAAUGUACUUCACCUGCAAAUUUUUCUUAUCAUUCUAUCAUUGCAGAGGUUAUAUAAACCACAAAAUCACACUGCUGGUCACACUAUUGGUCACACUACUAACAACAGGUCCAAAUGAAACCCGAGAAAUUAAAUUGAAAUCUUGGUGA
rnacentral:rRNA from 1 species